rnacentral:tRNA from 1 species
GCAGCGGCUGGUCUGGCUGGGUGGUGGCAUAGCACUUCUGGUGCUCUGCGCCUUGGGGUUUGGCGCCCUGCUGCUGCA